AGCGAACGCUGGCGGCAGGCCUAACACAUGCAAGUCGAACGGGCUCUUCGGAGCUAGUGGCGGACGGGUGAGUAACACGUGGGAACGUGCCUUUAGGUUCGGAAUAAGCCCGGGAAACUGGGUCUAAUACCGAAUGUGCCCUUCGGGGGAAAGAUUUAUCGCCUUUAGAGCGGCCCGCGUCUGAUUAGCUAGUUGGUGGGGUAAUGGCCCACCAAGGCUACGAUCAGUAGCUGGUCUGAGAGGAUGACCAGCCACAUUGGGACUGAGACACGGCCCAAACUCCUACGGGAGGCAGCAGUGGGGAAUCUUGCGCAAUGGGCGAAAGCCUGACGCAGCCAUGCCGCGUGGAUGAUGAAGGUCUUAGGAUUGUAAAAUCCUUUCACCGGUGAAGAUAAUGACUGUAGCCGGAGAAGAAGCCCCGGCUAACUUCGUGCCAGCCGCCGCGGUAAAAC
rnacentral:rRNA from 1 species